CAACAGAUACAUUCUUAUAGAGAGAAUGAGUCACAUGUUACAGAAACUUAACAAUUCACUGUACUGCUAACUGUAGCAGGCUUAGGCUUGAAUGAUAUGUGCAGGCCGUGCAGGCCGUGAUGGCCUCCCUGCUUCAGCUCUCUGCUUUUUUGUCUCAUUGCAAUAUUAAAGGAACUCAAAAUAGUGCUCCCGCCCAAGGCUAAAUUAAAACUCGGCCAACAGCACUGCAAUCACCCAAAAUAAAGCCAACCUAUGAGGAUACUAUAAACGAAAGUGAUUCCAGGUAAGCUGGGAAUUCACUGUACUGCUAACUGUAGCAGGCUUAGGCUUGAAUGAUAUGUGCAGGCCGUGCAGGCCGUGAUGGCCUCCCUGCUUCUGCUCUCUGCCUUUUUUGUCUCAUUGCAAUAUUAAAGGAACUCAAUAGUGUGCCCGCCCAAGGCUAGAUUAAAACUCGGCCAACAGCACUGCAUGCACCCAAAAUAAAGCCAACCUAUGGGGAUACUAUAAAUGAAAGUGAUUCCAGGUAAGCUGGGAGCAGCCCUGGCUAGCCCGACAAUUAAACAGGCGAAAAUGGGGAAACCUUUUUGCAAAAGAAAGCCCCUAAUGGGGGCUCUCUCCCUAUUGGGAAAGGCAAGCCCAGGAGGAUUAUGCACAGGCAGCGCUCACAGGUACAGGGAGAAUCUUCCCAAAGGGCAGGGUAAGGGGUGGGGUGGGAAAUCAAACAGAAAGAAAAAAGGGGGAAUUAAAUUAAUUAAGGGACUAGAGAAGAUUAAAAGAAGGGGAAAAUAAAGAAAUGUAACCAGACAAUGAGAAGAUCGCUCCACUGUCCUCCAGACGGUCCAAGUGCUCCAGGUGAUCCGUUGCACGCAGCAAAGAGAAAGCUCCAGGCUGCGUGCAGAGUAUUUAAACAUUUUACCCCUCCCACCAAAAUUGCAACAUAACUUUUACCCCAGCAACCCAGUGAACCAAUCACUGCCCCAGGCCAUCUUUAGAGACCCUGCCUGGUAACAGAGGGGUGGCUCAGCAGACCCCACCGCAACACGUGCUCUCCAUGAAGGAGAACACGCUUUGCGUAAGUAAACUGAGCGCAAGUUGCUGACUCAGUGCAGUUUAAAAGUUGCAUAGACAUUGAGUACUAGUUGUGUGGAGUAUGAUGAUUGAAAUGAGACUUCUAUGGGAUAAUGUGCAUAAUCAAUUUAUGCGAUAGGGCCUAUAGAGCCCCCACAUAAUAAUAAUCAGCAACCUCAAUAUUACUUGUUUUCAUGGAGUCAUUAUCACUGCUCUGCUAUCAGGGAUAAUACUUCUUUUGCUAGCUCAUCACCUAACAAGGACUAGGGUGUGAUAAGAAUAAAUGACAGCGGGUUAUUUAGGAUAAUGGUUUCACACAACCAAGCAGUAAGGUCAUUAACCUCAGCUAUAAUGGGGAAACUGUUAAAUCCUUUUGCUGAGAAAGGUGGUCAAGUAUGAUGGCUAAAAUUCCGUUUCGGCAACAGGGGUGGCAAAGAAUUUUUUAUUCAGGCCAGAUUUUGCAGUGAAGCCUCCCUCUUCCUCAUUCAUCCUGCAGAACCAGUAAUCAGGAUGGAAAGCAGGUCUGCAGUUUGGUCCACAGAUCUACAGUAUGAGGCCAGUGUACUUAUAAGGUGUUCCAAAGAUUAUUCUCUCUCUGUAUUUUCUUGCGUUUCCCAGCGUAAUGCUGCUUGGAGCAGAUUCCAAAAGGAACACAACAUUCGCAAGAGAAGUGCAAGCAGACAAUAAGGGAAGCUAAAAAGGAGUUUGAAAAGCACUUUUCUAAAAAUAUAAAUACCAUCCUGAACAAAAACAUUUAAAUACAAUAGCAGCAGGAAACCAACUUGGGAGGUGAUUGGACCUUUGGAUGACCAGGGAGGCAAAGGUGCACUAAAGGAGAAGGAGAUUUCAGAGAAGCUGAACAAAUAAUUUGCAGGGUCUUCACAAUAGAAUACAUAGGGCUGUUCCUUCAGGCAUAGACCUUGGGAAUAUGGCUGCCUGUGCAAAGCCACAAUUUGACACACAUUCCCUGAAAUAUACUCAGAGUCGCAAAGUGAUUUCAGGCUCUUUAUUCAGCUCAUAGUGGUGAGGAGGAAUGAAUGGAAGUCCCCUCACAGUAUCUGCUUUAUAUACAUUAUUUACACAAUGGGCUGCACAUGAUUGGCUAAUUCCGAAUUCUACUGUAAGUGGUGAGGAGGAAUGAAUGGAAGUCCCCUCACAGUAUCUGCUUUAUAUACAUUAUUUACGCAAUGGGCUGCACAUGAUUGGCUAAUUCCGGAAUUCUACUGUAAGCCAAUCAGGUUGUGGAUUCACUUCUAUCUGGAGCAGGAUUGGGUGGUUCCUGCCAACCAAUCAUACUGCUGCAUUGUUCUAGGACCAAUCAGACUGCUACAUUCUGAAUCCUAUUGUUCUAGGACCAAUCAGACUGCUGCAUUUUGGAUCCUAUUGUUCUAGGACCAAUCAGACUGCUGCAGUUUGGAUCCUAUUCAACUCAGUACAUAACAUUCCCAUUGUGCCACCUUUCCAAGGCCUGAAAGGGGAGGUGCUGGGCUUUGGGAAGGAGGCACGAGACUCUGCCAGGGUCCUAAAGCUCUCCUCCUCUUUCCUAAAGCUGGGAGACCACUAACAAGGCAAGGAAAGGAAAAGGGAAGACUCUAGGACCCUGGUAGAGCCCUCAUGUCUCCUUCCCAAAGCCCAGCGCUUACAAGGCUUUGGGAAUGAGGUGGGCACUCUUUUGGUCCUUGCAACGGGGGGGGGGCAGAGGGAACCAGUUGUGCUGCCUCAAAGCCACUUCUGGUUCCUCCUACCUGAACUAACUUUUGCAGGAAGGAAGUUGGAGAAACUGAAGCAAAUCUUGACAACGUAUGAAGAUCUAGGGCAGGCAUCCCCAACCUUCGGCCCUCUAGAUGUUUUGAACUACAAUUCCCAUCAUCCCUGACCACUAUUCCUGUUAGCUAGGGAUCAUGGGAGUUGUAGGCCAAAACAUCUGGAGGGCAGCAGGUUGGGGAUGCCUGGUCUAGGGCUUAUUGAUAAACAAAAACAGACAAAACCUUGGCUCUGGGUGGCACACUGCUUUCAAAUGGAAAACUGCAAACAAAAAUAGGUAACUUGUCCCUCAGAUCAACCUUCAUGCCUGAGGACUGGAAAGUGCUCAGUGUAACACCAUUUUUAAAAAAGAGAAUGUGGGAGCAGGGGUGCAGAUCCAGGAAAACUGGAGGAAAGCACAUACUGCAGAUUCUUCCACACCAGAAAGGAACCCUAAUUGUUCGCUCUGUCUUAGGCGAGUAAGCCCCACUAAGCACAGGGGGAGCUACUUCCAAGUAAACAAGUACAAGCUUGCACUGCCAAGCAUUGUACACACAAGUUCAAGCCAGGCCUUUGACUCAGCUGAGUGUGUGAUCGGCCCCCGCUGUAGACCCACUAGCUAAAAUUUGACCCCAUGUAUCUUUGGGAAGCUUUUGGUGUGAUCUGAGAGGAGAGAAGAGGAAAGUUUUGGUCUGUAAUCUGUGGUGAAAGUUCUGCCCAUGAUCACGGUUCACUUGUCUGUAUCUGCAGUGUAACAGCUUAAAAGCACAAACUUUCAGAGAUAUUAGGCAAAUCGUGUCCUGUGUUCUGGGUGGGUAAGAUUGGACAGCCACAACUCCCGAUUGGGAGGUCCCUCAAUGUUGGGUUCAAUCUGGCCAAAGGGGCGCAGUCCAAAUGGAUCAAGGGACCUAUUUAUACCCAUGCACGUGACCCAGAGCUUCCUCUUUUGGUGUGUGCAUUCGGAACACCCACCCACCUCUCCCUAAUUUUAGGGCAUUUUGCGAUUGACCUUGCUAUGCUGUCAUGUGUUGUCUGUCGUUGGGACAGGGGCAAGGCAGGAAUUUUCCCCACUUGGCUGAUUGGCUGGUGCCAUUUGGGUUUCACCUGCCACGUAGCUAAUCGUCACAACUUGUAAGGUUGCGGAUAGGCACUGUUUCAGGUGAUAGGGAUGGGAGAAUGGUCUCGCCAUCCCUAUGUGAAGGGUAUUCUGUUAAAGGAAUCCAGGGACUCAAGUGGUUUGGUCAACCCCUGAGAGGGGAUUGUGACCAUGCCUGAGUCCAGGGGGGCAUCUGGGUGGUGAACAGAGUCUGUACCUGGCUUUUCAUCUACCCAGGUGUUCACCCUUGGCUGACCUAUGCUGGUGCCCUGGGUCAGCGCUGCCUGCAAGGGUGCAGGGAGCUAGUCAAACCAGAGCCUAUGCAACCACUCACCUUCUGUAAUCAAUAAAGUUGUGGCCUAAAUUCUGCCAAAAGCCAAGACUAAAAUUUGAGUCAAGUGUGUCUUUAUUUAGGGGGGAGGUCUCUGGGUUUGAACACGCAAAUUGCUACUGUCUUCAUUCUGCCUGGUAUAUACAGUGGUAGCUCGGGUUAAGUACUUAAUUCAUUCUGGAGGUCCGUUCUUAACCUGAAACUGUUCUUAACCUGAAGCACCACUUUAGCUAAUGGGGCCUUCUGCAGCUGCUGCGCCGCCGGAGCACGAUUUCUGUUCUCAUCCUGAAGCAAAGUUCUUAACCCGAGGUACUAUUUCUGGGUUAGCGGAGUCUGUAACCUGAAAUGUAUGUAACCUGAAGCGUAUGUAACCCGAGGUACCACUGUAUAUGGGGAUAUAAAUAUUUGUCUAUCUUAUAGAGAUGUUGUAAUGAUUACUAAGCUAAUGUGUAUGAAGUGUUUUGAGCAUUUGCAAAUAGGUGUGUAUUUAUAUUUUAUAUAUUUAUAUUUCAUUAAAUUUAUAUACUGCCCUUCAUCUGGAGAUCUCAGGGCGGUUCAUAAGAUAAACACAGAUCCCUGAGUAUAGGAACCAACUCCUAGGCACCAUGGGGGCUUUGGCCCCCACAAUAAAAUAUUUGAGAGGGCCAGGCCCCCACAAAGUUGAUGGGCAUUCCCAUUCAAAUGGUGUGUAUGUGCACACUGCAUCAUGUUCUCAAUUAUGUGGGGUGGGGCUUACCUGGUCCCCCCACAAUAUUUUAUUCAAGUUGGCAUGCCAGUACCUGAAUGUGUUCAAAUGCUGCCUUAUGGUUAUUAUUUUGAGUUUGCAUAUUAUAUGGCUCGAAGCAACCUUGCAUGGACCUUUCAAGGCUUACUCAUUUUCAUUGUUUGCUUGUGGCUCAUAACAGUUUUCUGCAGUCCUAUUCAUAUACCAGUUGAUUCAUCGUCUAUUUGUCUCCCUAGUGUUCUGUUUCAUAUUGUUACUACUGCUCCAUAAAGUAAAUCAAUAAUACACAUGUGCUUCUGCUGUAUAUCUAAAUCUUUCCAGUAGCUCCUUUCUAUGAUCCAAUAAACAAUUAAUGAUGUUGGAAUGACAUGGACUCACUCUCAAUAUUGCUACUGCUGCAUUUAUUAUGUGAAUGGGAAGUUCUGUACCCACCAGCUCGUGUUUAGUUUGUUUAUUCGUUGCCUGACUCCUUGAUGCCCAUGGACUUAAAAUCAAGCAAUGCUUUUAAUUAUGGGUGAUGCUGAUACAUUCUAAGCAAUAUAAUCAGUGCAAACAAAAAUUGUGAAAAUAUUCCUAUAAAAAUCUGAACAUUAAGCCCACAAAGGCAAACACUGUACGUUUCUGAGCACAAUUCAAAGGGUUGGUGCUGACCAUUAAAGCCCUAAAUGGCCUCAGCCCAGUAUACCUGAAGGAGCGUCUUCAUCCCCAUCAUUCAGCCCAGGCACUGAGGUCCAGCUCCAAGGGCCUUCUGGUGGUUCCCUCACUGCGAGAAGUGAGAUUACAGGGAACCAGGCAAAGGGCCUUCUCGGUAGUGGCACCCACCCUGUGGAAUACCCUCCCAUCAGAUGUCAAGAAAAUAAAUAACUAUCCGAGUUUUGGAAGACAUCUAAAGGCAACCCUGUUUAGGGAAGUUUUUAAUGUUUGAUGUUUUAUCGUGUUUUUAAUAUUCCAUUGGGAGCCGCCCAGAAUGGCUGGGGAUACCCAGCCAGAUGGGCAGGGUAUAAAUAAAUUGCUGUUGUGUUGUUGUUUCAGUAUUCAUUAAUUAUCUAAAUCUGCUAACACUAUCAGCCUGCCUCUGAAAAUGUGUACAAGAAAGGUUGAGCAGAAAAGAACAUGGCCCCCAAUAAAGGUUGCCAAAUGAGAAAGAUACUGUUAAAAUAUAUGCAGGUUUGUGGUGGCAGAGGACCAUUUUCUAGGGAUGAAGGAAUAUAGAGAGAAGAUAAGGAAAAAAUAAAGCUGUGAGUUGAACAUAGUAGAACUAGAUGUGACAAAGAACAGUGUCUCCAAAAGCAUCAUUCCUGUCUUGAGUUCCCCUCCUCCCUUUUAUAAUAGAAGCACAUGAUGUGAUAGCAGUCUGUGAUGUGGAGUGGCAUGAGGGAAGCAACAUCAUAUUGUCAUGUCACAGGCUUCCAGUACGAUACAUUAUUAGGAGACAGGAGGAAGAAUUUGAUGCAGGCUUCCAGUUUCAGUGACAACCCCAUGAUCUUCACGAUGAAUUAUUCCACUCUUACAUUUCGCAUUAUAACAUAGUCAGCUAAACUCAAAUGCUAUUACUAAUGUGACAGCAUCCAUGCUCAUAUGAGCAUACAUUUGGAACGGAUAUCCACAGUGUUUUGUGUCUCCGAAUUCAGACUAUUGUCACAGGGUUUGGGAAAUGGGAAGGCUGAUUACAGAAACACCCUUCUGUUUUCCUCUAGUGAUAACUGUAUGUCCAACUGGAAGACAGACUCAUGGGCAUCAGCCUCUGGAUUGCAGCCAAUCUGUGGUAUUUUGCAGAUCACUGUUUUUGACACUAUUACUGAGUUCCCACAUAGGGAAAUGGUCAGGAAUAAGCAAAAGACUGGGUGAGCCCUGAGUUGGGAGUUGAAGGAAAGCUUAUGGGCUGUGAAAACAUGACCUGAUUCAAGGGUUAUAUAACAACAACAACAACAUCAUCAUCAACAACAAUGAUUUAUUAUUUAUACCCCACCCAUCUGGCUGGGUUCUCCCAGCCACUCUGGGUAGCUCCCAACAGAAUAUUAAAAGCACAAUAAAACAUCAAACAUUAAAAACUUCCCUAAACAGGGUUGCCUUCAGAUGUCUUCUAAAAGUCAGAUGGUUGUUUAUUUCCUUGACAUCUGAUGGGAGGGCCUUCCACAGGGCAGGUGCCACUACCGAGAAGGCCCUCUGCCUAGUUCCCUGUAACUUCGCUUUUCACAGUGAGGGAACUGCCAGACGGCCCUCAGAGUUGGACCUUAAUGUCCAGGCUGAACGGUGGGAGUGGAAACGCUUCCUCAGGUAUACUGAAAUAAUGUCUCUCCGCCCCCCCCCCAACAAUGUAGUUUUAUCUUUUAACAUUUAUUCUGCACCAACAAAACUGUAUGCUUUCUUAUAACCAGAACAGGCCAACCCAUUGAGAAAAGAGUGAAUGGCUGGUGGUUUAUAAUAAUAAUAAUAAUAAUAAUAAUAAUAAUAAUAAUAAUAAUAAUAAUAAUAAUAAUAAUAAUAACAAUAAUAAAUUUCAUUUAUACCCCGCUCUUCCCAGUUCAGAAAACCGGGCUCAGGGUGGCUAACAACAAAUUUAAAACACUUAAUUUAAAUUUAAAAAACAACAAAUUUGAAACACUUAAUUGUAAUACAACAUAGAAGCAGCAUAAAAUACAGUAUAAAAGCAUGGGUUUAGAUUGAGAAAAACAGAAUUUUGAAGGGCACAAGGUAUAAAGUGAUGAAAUGCUGUUGUUGUUUUUCACCUUGGAAGUUAAAUAGACACUUUCAACUGUCUACAUAGAGUUUAUGCAAACCUUACCAAGGAAGAGAUGGGGUCUGCUACCAUAAAUAAGAGAUGUGCAUGGAAAAGUAAUUUGUAAGGACUGGGUUAUCAGUAGUUCAGCUGUCAGCUGUUCUCAAGCCACAUGGGGUUCUGUGGUGAUUUGCAUUCAGUGAAGUCAAAGCUUUCCCCAAAAUUACUGUGUGUGCUAUUUUAAUAAAGGUUGCCUUGUAAUUAUGCAAUGUAAGCAGUUUCAGAGACUUGUUCUCUAGACUUUAUUUUGUGUACCCGUGCCACAAAAUCACAAGUAAUCUUGCAGUGUUUUACUUGAGAUCAUUCCCAGCAAGCGCAAUCAGUUCAAUAUUUGUAUUACGCUUGAGUCUGAGGGUCUAGAAGUGUAAAGGAGUCUGGUUUGUGGGACUGCUCUGGGACAGCUUAGUUUAUUAGGGAGGUCAGAUUGCAAACCAUAGAUCCUGCCUGUUGCUUUAAACAUUCAAAGGCAGAAGCAGGAUGGUGUAGGUGGAGCACUGCAGCAGACCCACAGGAGAUGGGUCAGUUCAAGGCAGUAGCAGGUGAUGUGGUAGGGUGGUGGCACUUACUAUAUUAUUAUUAUUAUUAUUAUUAUUAUUAUUAUUAUUAUUAUUUGUACCCUGCCCAUCUGGCUGGGUUUCCCCAGCCACUCUGGGCGGCUUCCAACAAAAUAUUAAAAAUACAAUAAAACAUCAGACAUUUAAAACUUCCCUAAACAGGGUUGCCUUCAGAUGUCUUCUAAAAGUCAGAUAGUUGUUUAUUUCCUUGACACCUGAUGGGAGGGCAUUCCACAGGAUGGGAGCCACAACCUCUGCCUGGUUCCUUGUAACUUCGCUUCUCACAGUGAGGGAACUGCCAGAAGGCCCUCGGAACUAGACCUCAGUGUCCGGGCUGAACAAUGGGGGUGCAGACGCUCCUUCAGGUAUACUGGGCCGAGCACCAACACUUUAAAUUGUGCUUGGGAACGUACUGGGAGCCAAUGUAGGUCUUUCAAGACCGGUGUUACGUGGUCUCGGCGGCCACGCCCAGUCACCAGUCUAGUUGCUGCAUUCUGGAUUAUUUGUGGUUUCCGGGUCACCUUCAAAGGUAGCCCCACAUAGAGCGCAUUGCAGUAGUCCAAGCGGGAGAUAACCAAAGCAUGCACCACUCUGGCAAGACAGUCUGCGAGCAGGUAGGGUCUCAGCCUACGUACCAGAUGGAGCUGGUAGACAGCUGCCCUGGACACAGAAUUGACCUGUGCCUCAAUGGACAGCUGUGAGUCCAAAAUGACUUCAGGCUUCAGGGGCACAGUUACCCCAUUCAGGACCAGAGAGUCCUCCACACCAGUCCAUCCCCUGUCCCCCCAAAACAGUACUUCUGUCUUGUCAGGAUUCAACCUCAAUCUGUUAGCCACCAUCCAUCCUCCAACAGAACCUCCAGACACUUACACAGCCUUCACUGGUUCUAAUUUAAAAGAGAGGUAGAGCUGGGUAUCAUCCACAUACUGAUGAACACCCAGCCCAAACACCCUGAUGAUCUCUCCUAGCGGCUCCAUAUAGAUGUCAAAAAGCAUGACCUUCUGACAGCUGAGUCACUGCUGCUUUUACCUGGAGGGAGAGUGUAAAGGUAGUUGGGAAACUGGCACACUAUAAAGACACUGGAGCAUUGGAUUGAGCAGUGACUCAGCACUGUCUGUUACUGAUACAGACCAGUAACAGACCACAGACCAGCCGUGAGAAAACCAACUGAAGGACGUUCUAAGAAGAAUGAAGGUUGGGAGCAGGCAGAAAGGCAGGCAGACAGGGAGACAGGGAGAUUUGGAAGUUGUCAGACUGUGAGAAGACAGUCUGGCAGAUAAAGAACUGGCAAGCUGAUAGACUUAGAUACCUAGAACUAGACAAGGAACUGUACAGGCAAGACCCAAAGUCUAGCAGUAGUCCAGCAAAAGACUUAGGUCCAGAAUUUGAGGCAUUAAUUGCCUGAUGAUGUCAAGAGGAAGAAAUGGGUUGAACCUGCACUGGGACCUCCACUUCUCAGUGUCAAGUGUUUCACUACAAGGGGUACUAUAAUACUGACCAGGUUCUGCUUGAUUUAAGUACUGCUUGAUCUUCAUUCAUGGCUGCUGUUGCCAUGACUUGCUUCAGCAGAUAAGAACGGGAAAGAUGGCUAGUGGAGAAACAGGCCAGAAGAUGCAGAGACCGCCUGCUGUUCUAUCUCAUUGACAGGAUGGGAUCUGGAACUUGAAUGCUACUUUUUAUUUGUCGGAUUGUAAAGGAAAAUAUUCCCUCUGCACAAUUUCAUGCCAAAGGAUCGAAAUAAACCACAAAUGUUGUGAUUUCUUCCACUCCUCAAUUGGCAAUCAGAUGUCUAGCUCUGACAUUAAAAACAACAACACUGAAUUACAUAUUUAAAAUUUGAAGCACAUGCUAGCUAUCAUCUAUAUAAAAACUUCUGAAAAAUCCCAAUGUCAACAGUCAACUGCUUAUAAUCUUAGAGCAUUCCUGUGUGGGCCACUGCAUAGAGAGUAAUGUGCAAAGCUGCUUACACUGCAUUAUCAGAAGGCCACCAUUUUUAAACAGCAUACACAGUGAUUUUCAUAUAUUACCAGGAAGGCUUCUGCACACAUUGCAGAACAGUUAAUAGAUUCAUAAGGAAAUGCAAACAUGCUUAUUAAAUUACUUGACAAUGAAGGGGAUCCAAAAACCUACAUGAAUUGCAAAUGAAGCAUUUUGGAAGAAGCAAAGUGUGGUUAACAGAUGAGCUUUGACUACAUUUUACAUCAAUAUCAUAAUAGUUUUUCAGUUGGGGGGGGGUUGUGUUCACACAAAGCUUUCUGCUUUCUGUUGGGCAGACUCCAUAGAUCACUGAGAUGUUCAUAGGAGACUUUCUUGAUAGUGAUGUAACCUGUUACAGACCCUCCAAGUGUCCCUAUUUUCCAGGAAUGUCCCUGAUUUAGGGAAGCCGUCCCGGUUUCUGAUUUGAUCCCGGAAUGUCCCACUUUUCCUUAGGACGUCCCUAUUUUCAUUGGAGCAGUGUUGGAGGGUAUGGAAUUAUGUGACUCCUGAGCCGACGAGAGAAGUAAAUUACAAACUUUAGAAGACAUCUGAAGGCAGCCUGUAUAGGGAAGGUUUUUUUAAAAAAACAACAACGUUGAACGCUUUAUUAUGUUUUUAUAUGUGUUGGAAGCUGCCCAGAGUGGCUGGAGCAUCCCAGUCAGGUGUGCGGGAUAUUAAUAUCAUUAUUAGUAUUAUUAAGGAAUAGGACUUCCCUAUUUUUCAGCAUAGAAAUGUUGGAGGGUAUGAGACUGAUGCCUGAAGGCAGUGAUGGGCUGGUUGUAGGCCAAUAAAUUGAAACUGAAUCCAGAAAAGACAAAGGUGUCAUGUAAUGGUAGCCCAGGAAAUUGCCUGCACCAGUGCAGCUUUGCUGCCAUGGCUAGAAAUUAUCUUUCAAAUAUAGUUUAAAAUUUUAAAGUUACUAAAAUGAAUUGAAACUUUUAACUAUUAAAAAAUAAUAAUAAUUUCUACUGUUUCCAGCAAGGCUGUGGCAGUACAGGAAAUUUCCUGAGUUGUAUUGCCCAGAAUGCCUUGUUUUGAAGCACCCUUGUCCCUGCCUCAGAACAUGAGAUAUUGCUGGUGCUGCUCCCACAUAAGCAAUUGCAUAGGCAGAUAAUUUCUGGACUGGCUUAUGCAAACCAGCCUGGCUGGCUUAGUGAAGAGCAAACCUGUUAAUAUGACAAAAGGUGUCGGUUGUUUAAAUGUUUCCAUAAAGAAUGUAGGCCUUUCUGUUAGGAAUAGUUCGGACUGAAGUUCCCAGGUGUCGGAAAAUGUUAUUUAUGUAUGCAACAAUGACAGCUCGAAUUUUGUUAGCCCAAAGAUGGAAAAUGAGGGAGGCCCCAAGUAAGGAGGACUGACAACUUAAGAUGACAGAAUUUGCAGAACUAGCAGGUUCAACAUAUAGAAUAAGAGAGCAUCUGUUUAAAGGGGAGUGGAAAAUCUUUGCUGAGUAUUUGGAAAAUAACUGCGUACAGCUGAUGGCGCUGGCAGCAUUAAGAUAAAUUCAACAGUGUGGUUAAUAUUUGAAUGAUGUCAAUUGGGAGAACUGACUAAAAUGGCUACAGUAAAAUCCAGUGAAAUAUGCAGGAAUACAGUAAAAUACACAGGAAAUAUGCAGGAAUGAUAGGCAACCAUGGAAGGAGAAGGAGGGAAGUCAUAUAUGGUAUUAUGUAAAAUGUUUAUUUUGAGAUUUGUAAUUUGAAAACUUAAUUAAAAUUAUUAUUUUUUAAAUGCCAAAAGGGGUUGAUUGGCCAUUGGAGAGGAAUCCUUUGCCUGGGGAAUCAGAUGUUACCAAGGUGUGUCUGAGGAGACAGGAAAAGGGAGUUUUCAAGCAAGGGUUGCUGGGAAGAAGGAGGAAGAAGAGCUGAGAUCCAUACUGGGCAGGCUGGCUGAAGGCUGCCUGUGCUGCUGUGGAGUACCAGCCCCUCUUGAAAGGAG